rnacentral:rRNA from 1 species
UACGUAGGGGGCAAGCGUUGUCCGGAUUUAUUGGGCGUAAAGAGCUCGUAGGCGGUGUGUCGCGUCGGCCGUGAAAACCUGGGGCUUAACUCUGGGCGUGCGGUCGAUACGGGCAUCACUAGAGUUCGGCAGGGGAGACUGGAAUUCCUGGUGUAGCGGUGAAAUGCGCAGAUAUCAGGAGGAACACCGGUGGCGAAGGCGGCGACCUGGUCCAUUACUGACGCUGAGGCGCGACAGCGUGGGGAGCGAACAGG